rnacentral:rRNA from 1 species
UAGUAACUGCGAGUGAAGCGGGAAAAGCUCAAAUUUAAAAUCUGGCAGUCUUUUGGCUGUCCGAGUUGUAAUUUAGAGAAGCGUCUUCCGCGCCGGACCGUGCACAAGUCUCCUGGAAUGGAGCGUCAUAGAGGGUGAGAAUCCCGUCUUUGGCAUGGACACCCGGGGCUUCUGCGAUGCGCUCUCGAAGAGUCGAGUUGUUUGGGAAUGCAGCUCAAAAUGGGUGGUGAACUCCAUCUAAAGCUAAAUAUUGGCGAGAGACCGAUAGCGAACAAGUACCGUGAGGGAAAGAUGAAAAGCACUUUGGAAAGAGAGUGAAACAGUACGUGAAAUUGUUGAAAGGGAAACGCUUGAAGUCAGUCGCGUCGAUCGAGACUCAGCCUUGCCUUGGCUUGGCAUACUUCUCGGCUGACGGGCCAGCAUCAAUUUUGUCUCUCGGAUAAUGACAAGGGAAAGGUGGCACCUUUACCGGUGUGUUAUAGUCUCCUGUCGCAUGCGAGGGGUGGGAUUGAGGAACUCAGCACGCACCUCUUGGUGUCGGGGCUUCUGCCCACGCUACGUGCUUAGGAUGUUGGCGUAAUGGCUUUAAACGACCCGUCUUGAAACACGGACCAAGGAGUCUAACAUGCCCGCGAGUGUUCGGGUGGAAAACCCGUGCGCGUAAUGAAAGUGAAAGUUGGGACCUCUAUCGUGGAGGGCACCGACGCCCGGACCAGACCUUCUGUGACGGAUCUGCGGUAGAGCGUGCAUGUUGGGACCCGAAAGAUGGUGAACUAUGCCUGAAUAGGGUGAAGCCAGAGGAAACUCUGGUGGAGGCUCGUAGCGAUUCUGAC